AAUCCGCUGAUAGAUGGGCUUGCGUCUGAUUAGUUAGUUGUGGGGUAACGGCCUACCAAGACGACGAUCAGUAGCCGGACUGAGAGGUUGAACGGCCACAUUGGGACUGAGACACGGCCCAAACUCCUACGGGAGGCAGCAGUGGGGAAUAUUGCACAAUGGGGGAAACCCUGAUGCAGCGACGCCGCGUGAGUGAAGAAGUAUUUCGGUAUGUAAAGCUCUAUCAGCAGGGAAGAAAUGACGGUACCUGACUAAGAAGCCCGGCUAACUAC
rnacentral:rRNA from 1 species